rnacentral:miRNA from 1 species
UUGAACUGUUUCCUCUGAAGUUCC